GGAAUUUUGGACAAUGGGCGCAAGCCUGAUCCAGCAAUGCCGCGUGAGUGAAGAAGGCCUUCGGGUUGUAAAGCUCUUUUGUCAGGGAAGAAACGGUGGGAGCUAAUAUCUCCUGCUAAUGACGGUACCUGAAGAAUAAGCACCGGCUAACUACGUGCCAGCAGCCGCGGUAAUACGUAGGGUGCAAGCGUUAAUCGGAAUUACUGGGCGUAAAGCGUGCGCAGGCGGUUUUGUAAGUCUGAUGUGAAAUCCCCGGGCUCAACCUGGGAAUUGCAUUGGAGACUGCAAGGCUAGAAUCUGGCAGAGGGGGGUAGAAUUCCACGUGUAGCAGUGAAAUGCGUAGAUAUGUGGAGGAACACCGAUGGCGAAGGCAGCCCCCUGGGUCAAGAUUGACGCUCAUGCACGAAAGCGUGGGGAGCAAACAGGAUUAGAUACCCUUG
rnacentral:rRNA from 1 species